rnacentral:rRNA from 1 species
GAGGAAAAGAAACCAACAGGGAUUGCCUCAGUAACGGCGAGUGAAGCGGCAAGAGCUCAAAUUUGAAAGCUGGCUCCUUCGGGGUCCGCAUUGUAAUUUGCAGAGGAUGCUUCGGGAGCGGCCCCCAUCUAAGUGCCCUGGAACGGGCCGUCAUAGAGGGUGAGAAUCCCGUCUGGGAUGGGGUGCCCGCGCCCGUGUGAAGCUCCUUCGACGAGUCGAGUUGUUUGGGAAUGCAGCUCUAAAUGGGUGGUAAAUUUCAUCUAAAGCUAAAUACUGGCCGGAGACCGAUAGCGCACAAGUAGAGUGAUCGAAAGAUGAAAAGCACUUUGAAAAGAGAGUUAAACAGCACGUGAAAUUGUUGAAAGGGAAGCGCUUGCGACCAGACUCGCCUGUAGGGUUCAGCCGGCAUUCGUGCCGGUGUACUUCCCUGCGGGCGGGCCAGCGUCGGUUUGGGCGGCCGGUCAAAGGCCCUCGGAAUGUAACGCCCCCCGGGGCGUCUUAUAGCCGAGGGUGCCAUGCGGCCAGCCCGGACCGAGGAACGCGCUUCGGCUCGGACGCUGGCAUAAUGGUCGUAAGCGACC